rnacentral:rRNA from 1 species
CUACGGGGUGCUCCAGUGGGGAAUAUUGCACAAUGGGCGAAAGCCUGAUGCAGCAACGCCGCGUGAGGGACGACGGCCUUCGGGUUGUAAACCUCUUUUAGCAGGGAAGAAGCGAAAGUGACGGUACCUGCAGAAAAAGCACCGGCUAACUACGUGCCAGCAGCCGCGGUAAUACGUAGGGUGCAAGCGUUGUCCGGAAUUAUUGGGCGUAAAGAGCUCGUAGGCGGUUUGUCGCGUCUGCUGUGAAAAUCCGAGGCUCAACCUCGGACCUGCAGUGGGUACGGGCAAACUAGAGUGCGGUAGGGGAGAUUGGAAUUCCUGGUGUAGCGGUGGAAUGCGCAGAUAUCAGGAGGAACACCAAUGGCGAAGGCAGAUCUCUGGGCCGUAACUGACGCUGAGGAGCGAAAGCGUGAGGAGCGAACAGGAUUAGAUACCCUCGUAGUC